AAAAUAUAUUCCAAUUAUUACACUAAUUUUGCUCAAGACUUCAGCGACUACCCCACCCGUCCCUAUCUGUGGGUAAAGCUGCAAUUCUGUUAGGAUUUACCCCGUCUAAAACAUCUAGGAUACCAACAUAAGAAUGACUUAAGAUACAUCCAAACAGUCAAGGGUAAUGCAGAUAAUCCCCUAGAGGCAAUCAGUUAUCUACUUUGAGCAGUGGGUUUUUGAAGAUGGUUUUUGUUAGUUUCCUUCCCUUUUUACUGGCAAAACUAAUGAGUACAGAGUGAAUUUCCAGUUAGUUUGUUACUUUGCUCCUUUUGCUCUGGGUGCCAAUUACUCCCCAUUGCUGGAACACUACGAGAGCAGAUCAAAGCAUUUGACCACUUGGUACUUCCAUAUCAAUUCAGUUACAAGUUAGAGAAGCUCCCACAAAAUGACAAUUUUGGGUUCCCAUUAACAAAAAUAUCUGCAAACCUAAAAAACCACUGAUGCUUGCAUCAGCAAAUCACACUAGCACAAUACUGAACUAUGUCUUAUGCUGCUUUGGCUGUGUCACGAACAAGGGCAAGCUUAGCCAAAAGGCCACAUAGCUGAAGGUAGGAACCAACCCCAUCACAAAUUCUCAUAUGGGCAAAUCCAGUUUCCUUCAUGAACUCCAAUUUCAAAUAUUCAGCCAUGUCAUAAUUCUUUAUGACACGAAAAAGGGUUGUAAUUAUGUCUGUGGGAGAAUACCCCAAAUCAUAGAGCUGCUUCAGACCAGAACAAGCAUCAUCAAAUUUUCCCUCAAGCACAUGGCGCACCAUAUUCUUCACAUGCAAUGGAUGAGGCUGAUCACAAACCUUGAAAACAUUUUCCUGGUUGACAAAUCGGAAUCCACUGUAUGUAGCUUGCAAGUUAUUCAAUGCCUGCCUCAUAUCACCAUCAGCAGUGAAUAUGAUAGCUUCGAGGCCUUCAGGAACAUAUGGGACCUUCAAUGAAUAAAAAGUCAAUAAACUGCUCCAUAUCUUAUAAACACAAUAUAUCAAGAUUCAAGGGUGCUGUAGAGUUAUAAUCUCAAGGAUAAAACUACAUAAGCUUCUAUGAACCAUGCCAAAGUACUUUCCAGUUUGAAUAGUAAGAGAGUUGAUGUGCUAGUAAGCUUUAACCUCCAAAUGUAAGCUUUAUACAACCUUGUUAUCUCCCACUUGAUGUGAUUUAAACCAACAUACCUAGCUCAACAGUAGUUUGUCAAACAUGAUCAGGCAGGCGUCACUUCUUAACCAGCUCACCACCAUACUUCAGUGCUGAUGCUGAAGUGAUGUUACCUAUCAGAUUACCAAUCUGAAUGGGUGAUUUACCCAUUAAAAUUAGCAAGGUAUUUGGCAUCUGCCACCUACCCAAUUUCCAGUUCUUUCUGUAUCCCUGUGACAGCUUUAACAACCUUCACAAAUCAAGGUCUUAUCUUCAUUUUCUGCCUAAUAGCCACUAAUUGAUAUGUCUCCUCUCAAGAAUGCCACUCUACUUUCUGCUCUACUAAAUUAAAGCAAUAGAUGAUAAAAGCCCAAGGCUCCACUUCUCUAAAUUUGUGAUGAUACCAUUCUGUUAUUCCAAGUUAGAAAUCUUCCAAAAUAAUAUUACUAAAGGAAUGUAUAACUUAAAUUAAACAAAAUAUUAUGGUGAAAAAGAGGGACUGCAAUGAACUUUCAACUAGAGCAAAUGAAAUAGGUCCAAUAAGAAAACAAGAAAUGGUGAAUAAAUCUUAUGGAUAUUCUCAAUCAUAACAAACAGGUUAAAUUUGGCCCCAAUCAAAAACAUAAAUCAAGGAAAUGUUGCAAAUAUAAAACUUUGAACAGUGCGAAAUGAAUGUGCUAUGCUGUAGAACCAUAAAGUAUCACCUUUUCUGCUUCAACUACUACCAUGAGACGACCAAGUAUCUCUUGAUCAGAUAAUCUUGAAAAUCGAACAAGCGCACAUCUACUCUGAAUAGGCUCAAUAAUUUUAGAGGACGUAUUGCAUGCAAGAGCAAAACGGGUGGAAUUUGAAUAUAUUUCCAUUGUUCGCCUCAAGGCUUGCUGCGCUCCAGAUGUCAUGCUAUCAGCUUCAUCCAGAAUUACAAUUUUGUGUCGUCCGGGUGGCAGUGUCACUUUCUUUUGAGCAAACAUCUUGAUUUUGUUCCUCACAACAUCAAUACCCCUGUCAUCUGAAGCAUUCAACUCCAAAACAGCCUCCUUACAAUUCGGUCCUAAAAGCUCGUGUGCAAGAGCCAGUAUACUUGUAGUUUUGCCAGUUCCAGGGGGCCCCUGAAACAUACAAAGCAAAGUGCUCAUAAACAGCUUAACACCAUGCAACAGAGAGCACAUAAACUAGAAACCUUUAUGUAAACUUUUCACGUGGAAAUUAGAAAGAAAUGCCGCCUUUUAAACGAAUUUUUCAUUCAUAUUUAGCUUUUAACUCGGGGAAGAAAAUACAUAGAAAAAUAACACAUGGCAAUUUCCUCAUUUUCUACCCUAUACAUAAAUUAGGGUUUAACAAUUUCAUUAAUCAAUAUAAUUUCUCUCAAAUCUACUAAAAGAAUAGUUUAAAUUAGCACAAGAAACAUAUCAUUAGCCAUGCAAAAAAUUAUAAUCAGUAAUUAAGAUCUAAACCUACGAAGCAUGAAACGUACGGCUAGGAUGAGGUUAGGCAUGUUGCCGUCACGAGCGAUGACUUGGAGGCGGGAGACAGCGUCCUCGUUGCCGACGAUGUCAGCGACUUUGUUGGGCCGGUACUUCUCCACCCAUGGAAUGUCGUAGCUGUGACUGCUAUUAUUAGCCGAUGAAGACGACGAUGCCAUUGCGGUCACUGUUGAGGAGAGGUCGAGGUCGAAAGCAGUGAAAACAGACAGAGAGCGCGCGAUUCUUUGUGCAGAAACCCUCUCUCGCGGGACCACUAAAACUAUCCCCAAAGCCCUUCAAUUUGGAGGGAAAUUGCA
rnacentral:misc_RNA from 1 species